AUAGCACGAAUGUAGACAUGGCCGACGUGGGUCAAAGUGUUGUAUCUGUUCUUAUCAGCUUAAUACCUGACAUGGGUUGUAUUUGGACCAAAGAUAUUAAACUGCAUUUUUGCAAGUUGGCGAGUGCUUGAAGCUUGCUUCACCUCCGUCACAGGUCGGCCCGGUAUUGUGCUAUAUUCGGGAUCGGCCCACGGUUU